AUGCCCUUUUAAGGUCGACCAGUGCCUUCAGAGGCUCACACAGAAGGGUAAAGUUGGUCUCUGUAAAACCCAGAGAAGAGAUGAUAAAACUCUUUGGAGCCUGUCUGGUGUCACAGCU